CCCGCUGGUGGGGAUAUGGUUCCUAAGCGCCGGGGAGCGCCCAGCCAGCGGCCCUCGUGUGCCUGCUGCCCAUCCCUGCCCUCGGCUAUUCUGGGCCUCACAGCCCACUGCGGUAUUUAUACUGACAGAGGAAGAACGGGGGGAGAGGAAGAAAGAGAGACAGUGAUGGAAAAUAGAGAUGAAGCAUGUCGGAGAGGGAGAGAGGUGAAAAACAGUCAAGCGUGGUGUUGAUGUUUAUAGAGAUGAUAUAUGCAUGCAGUAGGAGACGAAAAAGGGAAAGAAGUUAGAAGUGGAUGCGAACGGAUAUCGACAGAGGAGGGCAGGGGUGAUAAUGAGUAUUAACCAAGCGGGAGAAUGCAAGAAAUGGGUGGAAAAAGAUGGGCGAAAAAAUAGAAUGGGAGGACAUCACUGGAAGUUGCCAUUUCAUAACCACCCAUUGAAAUUGAUGCUCAUUGCUAUACCUGGAAAGCUUGGAGGGAAGCAGAGGGCUAAUCAGACAUUAGGUGCAUUAAAGGAUUGAGGCAGUCCGGUGGUUUUGGGUCUGCAGACGUGACUUCACCUGAGACGGCAGGUGUGGCCGCGGGUGUUAACAAGACAUGAUGAGAAUAUAUACCUAACGGCGAUGACGUGAUUGCAGCGGCACUGCAUGCAUGUGCAAAGAUGAGAGGAGAGGAUAUAGAAGUUGAAUUGUUUCCAAGAGAGUAACUGUCUACACACCUGAUUUUUUUAACAGGUGAGUUUUUGAUGUGAUUCCAUUCCAUAUUGUUUAAUCUGGUGCCACCUGCUGGCAAAACGAUGUCAUAACACAAUGGUACAGUGCCGGUGAACAAUGCCAGUACUAUUUUAGGGGAGGUAAAGACUCAUUCUGUCUGACACUUAAAGCUGUCCCAGCAUUGCAGCGAUGACAUUACAACAUGGAAGUGUAGUAGGAAUCUCACUGGACUGCAGUAUUAGGAUUAGAACGCAGUAAAGUGUUUAAAACCAGGAAAACCCUCACAUACGCAACCCACCCCCAAAAACACACAGACACACAGACACACACACGCGCACAUAAACACUGACACACACAUGCGCAUGUGCACA